AUUGAACGCUGGCGGCAUGCCUUACACAUGCAAGUCGAACGGCAGCACGGGUGCUUGCACCUGGUGGCGAGUGGCGAACGGGUGAGUAAUACAUCGGAACGUACCUUAUCGUGGGGGAUAACGCAGCGAAAGCUGUGCUAAUACCGCAUACGCCCUGAGGGGGAAAGCGGGGGAUCGCAAGACCUCGCGCGAUUAGAGCGGCCGAUGCCUGAUUAGCUAGUUGGUGGGGUAAAAGCCCACCAAGGCGACGAUCAGUAGCUGGUCUGAGAGGACGAUCAGCCACACUGGGACUGAGACACGGCCCAGACUCCUACGGGAGGCAGCAGUGGGGAAUUUUGGACAAUGGGGGCAACCCUGAUCCAGCAAUGCCGCGUGAGUGAAGAAGGCCUUCGGGUUGUAAAGCUCUUUUGUCAGGGAAGAAACACCGGCUCUAACACAGUCCGGGAAUGACGGUACCUGAAGAAUAAGCACCGGCUAACUACGUGCCAGCAGCAGCCGCGG
rnacentral:rRNA from 1 species